GAUGAAGAACGUAGCGAAAUGCGAUAAGUAAUGUGAAUUGCAGAAUUCAGUGAAUCAUCGAAUCUUUGAACGCACAUUGCGCCCGCCAGUAUUCUGGCGGGCAUGCCUGUUCGAGCGUCAUUUCAACCAUCAAGCCCCCGGCUUGUGUUGGGGACCUGCGGCUGCCGCAGGCCCUGAAAACCAGUGGCGGGCUCGCUAGUCACUCCGAGCGUAGUAAUACAUCUCGCUCAGGGCGUGCGGCGGGCUCCUGCCGUGAAACCCCCCACUGUAACCCCAAAGGUUGACCUCGGAUCAGGUAGGAAUACCCGCUGAACUUAAGCAUAUCAAUAAGCGGAGGA
rnacentral:misc_RNA from 1 species